UUCACGGAGAGUUUGAUCCUGGCUCAGGACGAACGCUGGCGGCGUGCUUAACACAUGCAAGUCGAACGAUGAACCAGGGCUUGCCCUGGGGAUUAGUGGCGAACGGGUGAGUAACACGUGGGCAACCUGCCCCUGACUCUGGGAUAACUCCGGGAAACCGGGGCUAAUACCGGAUACGAACCUCGACGACAUCGUUGAGGUUGUAAAGUUUUUCGGUCAGGGAUGGGCCCGCGGCCUAUCAGCUAGUUGGUGGGGUAAUGGCCCACCAAGGCGACGACGGGUAGCCGGCCUGAGAGGGCGACCGGCCACACUGGGACUGAGACACGGCCCAGACUCCUACGGGAGGCAGCAGUGGGGAAUAUUGCGCA
rnacentral:rRNA from 1 species